rnacentral:rRNA from 1 species
GGACUACCAGGGUUUCUAAUCCCAUUCGCGACCCACGCUUUCGUGUUUCAGCGUCAGGAGUGGACCAGUCUGCUGCCUUCGCUUUCGGUGUUCCCCAUGAUAUCAACGCAUUUCACCGCUACACCAUGAGUUCCGCAGACCCCUUCCAUCCUCUUAGCAAUGCCGUUUCCCACGCAGACUCUCGGUUGAGCCGAAAGAUUUUACGCGAGACUAACACUGCCGCCUACACACCCUUUACGCCCAAUGAUUCCGGAUAACGCUCGAGGCACUCGUAUUACCGCGGCUGCUGGCAC